UUNGACNCCGGCGGCGUNUUUAACACAUGCACGUCGAGCGAUCUCUUCNGAGAGAGCGGCGGACGGGUGAGUAACGCGUGGGUAACCUGCCCUGUACACACGGAUAACAUACCGAAAGGUAUACUAAUACGGGAUAACAUANGAAAGUCGCAUGGCUUUUGUAUCAAAGCUCCGGCGGUACAGGAUGGACCCGCGUCUGAUUAGCUAGUUGGUAAGGUAAUGGCUUACCAAGGCAACGAUCAGUAGCCGACCUGAGAGGGUGAUCGGCCACACUGGAACUGAGACACGGUCCAGACUCCUACGGGAGGCAGCAGUGGGGAAUAUUGCACAAUGGGCGAAAGCCUGAUGCAGCAACGCCGCGUGAGCGAUGAAGGCCUUCGGGUCGUAAAGCUCUGUCCUCAAGGAAGAUAAUGACGGUACUUGAGGAGGAAGCCCCGGCUAACUACGUGCCAGCAGCCNNGGUNGGAAA
rnacentral:rRNA from 1 species